ACCUAUCAGGCACUUAGCUCAGUUGGUAGAGCAUGAGACUCUUAACUGCAGGGUUGUGGGAUCAAGCCCCAGGUUGGGCA